UACGUAGGGUCCGAGCGUUGUCCGGAAUUAUUGGGCGUAAAGAGCUCGUAGGCGGUCUGUCGCGUCGGCUGUGAAAACACGGGGCUCAACUCCGUGCCUGCAGUCGAUACGGGCAGACUAGAGUUCGGUAGGGGAGACUGGAAUUCCUGGUGUAGCGGUGAAAUGCGCAGAUAUCAGGAGGAACACCGGUGGCGAAGGCGGGUCUCUGGGCCGUAACUGACGCUGAGGAGCGAAAGCGUGGGGAGCAAACAGG
rnacentral:rRNA from 1 species